rnacentral:rRNA from 1 species
GGUCUGAGAAGGAUGCCCAGCCCACACUGGAACUGAGACACGGUCCCAGACUCCUACGGGAGGCAGCAGUGGGGAAUAUUGCACAAUGGGCGCAAGCCUGAUGCAGCCAUGCCGCGUGUGUGAAGAAGGCCUUCGGGUUGUAAAGCACUUUCAGCGAGGAGGAAGGUGGUGAACUUAAUACGUUCAUCAAUUGACGUUACUCGCAGAAGAAGCACCGGCUAACUCCGUGCCAGCAGCCGCGGUAAUACGGAGGGUGCAAGCGUUAAUCGGAAUUACUGGGCGUAAAGCGCACGCAGGCGGUUUGUUAAGUCAGAUGUGAAAUCCCCGGGCUCAACCUGGGAACUGCAUUUGAAA